AGUGAACGCUGGCGGUAGGCCUAACACAUGCAAGUCGAACGGCAGCACAGUAAGAGCUUGCUCUUACGGGUGGCGAGUGGCGGACGGGUGAGGAAUACAUCGGAAUCUACUUUUUCGUGGGGGAUAACGUAGGGAAACUUACGCUAAUACCGCAUACGACCUACGGGUGAAAGCAGGGGAUCUUCGGACCUUGCGCGAUUGAAUGAGCCGAUGUCGGAUUAGCUAGUUGGCGGGGUAAAUGCCCACCAAGGCGACGAUCCGUAGCUGGUCUGAGAGGAUGAUAAGCCACACUGGAACUGAGACACGGUCCAGACUCCUACGGGAGGCAGCAGUGGGGAAUAUUGGACAAUGGGCGCAAGCCUGAUCCAGCCAUACCGCGUGGGUGAAGAAGGCCUUCGGGUUGUAAAGCCCUUUUGUUGGGAAAGAAAAGCAGCAGGCUAAUACCCCGCUGUUCUGACGGUACCCAAAGAAUAAGCACCGGCUAACUUCGUG
rnacentral:rRNA from 1 species